UGUUCGGAGAGUUUGAUCCUGGCUCAGGACAAACGCUGGCGGGGUGCAUGAGACAUGCAAGUCGAACGGGGUUCAUCGGGCUUGCUCGAUGAACCUAGUGGCGGACGGCUGAGUAACGCGUAGGUGACCUACCCGGAAGUGGGGAAUAACUGCCCGAAAGGGUGGCUAAUACCGCAUGUGGUCGACGAUUCGCUUCGUCGUCCAAAGCCGCAAGGCGCUUCCGGCGGGGCCUGCGUCCGAUUAGCUAGUUGGUGGGGUAACGGCUCACCAAGGCGACGAUCGGUAGCUGGUCUGAGAGGAUGAUCAGCCAGACUGGGACUGAGA
rnacentral:rRNA from 1 species